GUUCUCGCUUCGGCGGUACAGACACAAAAAUUGGAACUAUAGAGAGGAGACUAGCAUGGCUCCCGCGCAAGGAUGACAGAGAAUAGAAGGUGAAGGAGUUGAU